AAAUGCGAUAAGUAAUGUGAAUUGCAGAAUUCAGUGAAUCAUCGAAUCUUUGAACGCACCUUGCGCUCCUUGGUAUUCCUUGGAGCAUGCCUGUUUGAGUAUCAUGAAAUCUUCAAAGUAAAUCUUUUGUUAACUCAAUUGGUUUCUACUUUGGUAUUGGAGGUCUUUGCAGCUUCACACCUGCUCCUCUUUGUUCAUUAGCUGGAUCUCAGUGUUAUGCUUGGUUCCACUCGGCGUGAUAAGUUAUCUAUCGCUGAGGACACUGUAAAAGGUGGCCAAGGUAAAUGCAGAUGAACCGCUUCUAAUAGUCCAUUGACUUGGACAAUACUUUUAUGAUCUGAUCUCAAAUCAGGUAGGACAACCCGCUGAACUUAAGC
rnacentral:misc_RNA from 1 species